rnacentral:snRNA from 1 species
GUGCUCGUUUCAGCAGCACACAUACUAAGAUUGGAACAAUUCAGAGAAGAUUAGCAUGGCCCCUGCACAAGGAUGACACACAAAUUCAUAAAGCAUUCCAUAUUUUU